UACGAAGGGGGCUAGCGUUGUUCGGAAUCACUGGGCGUAAAGGGCGCGUAGGCGGCUUUAUAAGUCGGGGGUGAAAGCCCGGGGCUCAACCUCGGAAUUGCCUUCGAUACUGGACAUCUUGAGUACGGGAGAGGUGAGUGGAACUCCGAGUGUAGAGGUGAAAUUCGUAGAUAUUCGGAAGAACACCAGUGGCGAAGGCGACUCACUGGCCCGUUACUGACGCUGAGGCGCGAAAGCGUGGGGAGCAAACGGG
rnacentral:rRNA from 1 species